AUGAUGGUAACUGCCUUGGAGUGGGAAGAUGGCCCAUCUUGUGCUCUUUUCUCGGAGGGGACCGAAGACUAUGAGUGGAUGAAUCAAAAAGUAGACAUACCAGUCAAGCAUGUGCAGACACCAAAUGCUUCUAGCUCUGAUGUGCAGAAUUCAAUCCCAUCAGUGCCAAACUUUGACAACACUCCUCAAGUUGAAAGGCCUAGCAACCUCCCAACCGCAACAUUUGACACAGCUCCAAAGCUCCCUAGGGCAAACGACAUUCCGGGGCCUGUGUUUGAUGUGUCCCCCAUCUCAUUCAAAAACGCUUCCUCCGAUGGACCUCAAGUAGUAGUGGAUUUGCACGAGACAACCGAGGCGAAUGUUGCGGUCAGGGGUGAGUCCAACAGUCUUGGUAAACAGUCAAAGAAGAAAAGGGUGGCUGUCUCCCCAGACAAUGUGACAACGAUGAAGAAGAUUAAGGUUGAUGCACACGGUGAUGCCUUACACCAUCAGUAUGUAAUGACCAGAUACAAGACAAGAAAACCAAAGAAAAACGAGCUUCUGCCCGACUUCAUUGAAAUAGAUGGCUUCCAUACAUCUCUCGAGAAUUUUCAUGCAUCUCUAAAGCCAAGAGCGGAGAUUGACAAUGAGGUCAUGACCUUAUACCUGAAGACAUUCAACUAUGAUCAGUCAGUGAAGAAGAAGAAGCCAAAAAAAUUUGUUUUCUCAGUGUUGAUGAGUUUGAAACUCAGUGCUGAGCCAGAUGUGUUUGAUCCGAAGGUGUGCGAAAAAGAAUUUAAGAAUGCUUGCUUAAAAAAUCACAUUUCAAAAUCUGACCUGCUAUUCUUCAUGGUUGUACACAAAAGGCACUGGGCAGUAGUAGUUGUUAACAUCACCCAAAAGGAGUUCAAUAUCUUUGACUCCAUUAGGAACUCGGAAGACCUUUUUGAGAUGGACAUGAUCACUAAGAAUGUGGUCGCAAACAUCAAGAGUGUUGCAAUGAGGGAGCCACUUUUUAAGCACAAUCUCGAGUCUUACUUGCUAUUCACCCCACUUGAUUACCCUCAACAAAAAACUUACUAUAACUGUGGCUACUAUAGUAUUUUAUACGUGGAGAAUUGGGAUGGCCUUGUUAUGCUGUCAUUUGGCGAGGAUUACAUCCCAAACCUUUGGAAACGCAUUGCAGCAGAUCUGUUGAGACACCCAAGCAACAAGUUGGACCCCGCGCAUCAGCUGAAGCUGCUUCUUCAGCGUUAG
rnacentral:rRNA from 1 species